AUUAUAUUCAUGGGUGAAAAACAGCUAAAGAUAGCAAAUAAUGCCAGAAAAGGGGAUCUAGAAAUCUAAUGAAAUGGUGACAGCCCUGAUCUUAGGCCCCUGUAACAAAACAACACAAAUUAAGUACAAAGUAGGAGACAGAUAACAGGUACAUCCAUGCAGUAUGUGUAAGACCUAUUGUUGUCAACAUUAUUAUUUAAUAAAAAAGGUUUCUGGAAUGAGGGAAAUGAUCAGUCCAUUUUAGCCAGAUUAUAGUUGCAGUGUGUACUUUAGUAUGGGUAAACAGAAAUGUAUCCAGAAGAAGAGAGGGGUGUUCAGGUCUUCUAAGUAGAAGUCAGACACUCCUCAAAUAUUGUGGACAGGGGUCAUGGUUUAGAGUAGAAAAUUGGGCUAACAGGGAAGCUUUGAAUUCUCAUAGUUAAUACUGGCGGAAAUGAGUCAUCAGUGAUAAAGCCACACACAAUAUUGUUGGUUCUCAUUGACUGAACUUACUUUGGUUGCCUUUUAGGUGAGCCCAUGGUAGCAGAAGCAGGCAUUAUGGGAUAACCAUUGUGUAAGAAACAGCUUCUUCACUCCUGCACUGAUUGCCACCAACAUUCUCUUGGUUGAUGAGAUCAUGUAAGCUGGAAUGUCUUCUCUAAAAGGUUGAAUUGAAGCUUCCUCUGUAUCUGAGUCUUGAAGACUGUGCAAAGUGAUCCUGAAGAAUACAGCUGUGGAAUUUUUGUCCAAGCUUCAAAUGAGUUUCAAGGGAAUUUUCCCAUAUGAAAAAAGAGAGAACACUGGCAUCUGUUGAAAUUCAGAAGUUCUGAAAUUAUAAUUACAGUAUGUUUUUAAAAAUUGCACUGAAAUGUAAACACGUAAAGCAGGUCUUCCACCCAGUGAACAGGAUGUUUUGCUUAGCAGCAGUGACAUAGAAUUCCAUGUUAGAUAAGCAUAUAUUACCUACCUUAUUAAAUAUUCCUUGAAAAAG